GUCCAACUGACGAGUCCGAAAUAGAACGAAACGCGUUUCCUGGAU
rfam:Schistosoma curassoni strain Dakar, Senegal genome assembly, scaffold: SCTD_scaffold0001629